UACGGAGGUGGCAAGCGUUACUCGGAAUUAUUGGGUGUAAAGGGCAAGUAGGCGGUCUAGUAAGUGGGUGGUGAAAUACCCCGGCUCAAUCGGGGAACUGCCUUCCAAACUGCUAGACUUGAGUGUGACAGAGGAAAACGGAAUUCUCGGUGUAAGGGUGAAAUCUGUAGAUAUCGAGAAGAACACCAGCGGCGAAGGCGGUUUUCUGGGUCACUACUGACGCUAAAUUGCGAAAGCUAGGGGAGCAAACAGA
rnacentral:rRNA from 1 species